rnacentral:tRNA from 1 species
UCCUCGUUAGUAUAGUGGUGAGUAUCCCCGCCUGUCACGCGGGAGACCGGGGUUCGAUUCCCGACGGGAG